rnacentral:snRNA from 1 species
GUGCUUGCUUCAGCAGCACAUAUACUAAAAUUGGAAUGAUACAGAGAAGGUUAGCAUGGUCCCUGCACAAGGAUGAUAUGCAAAUUCAUGAAGUGUUCCAUAUAUUU